rnacentral:rRNA from 1 species
ACAAAGGCGGCCACGGGUGGCCGUAAGAGGGUACGUGGAGAAAAAGCAUCGGUUAACUCCGUGCCAGCAGCCGCGGUAAUACGGAGGAUGCGGGCGUUAUCCGGAUUUAUUGGGUUUAAAGGGUGGGCAGGCGGCGUGUCAAGUCAGCGGUAAAAUGUCGGGGCUCAACCCCGGCCGGCCGUUGAAACUGGCGUGCUCGAGUUGGAGAGAAGUAUGCGGAAUUCGUGGUGUAGCGGUGAAAUGCAUAGAUAUCACGAAGAACCCCGAUUGCGAAGGCAGCAUACCGGCUCCACACUGACGCUGAGGCACGAAAGCGUGGGUAUCGAACAGGAUUAGAUACCCUGGUAGUCCACUGCAGUAAACGAUGAAAACUAGGUGUCCGGGGCUAAGGUCAUGAGGUGCCACAGCGAAAGCGUUAAGCAUUCCUCCUGGGGGGGUACGCCGGGCAAGGGGGAAACUCAAAGGAAUUGACGGGGGCCCGCACAAGCGGAGGAACAUGUGGUUUUAUUCGAUGAUACGCGAGGAACCUUAACCGGGCUCAAACGCAGGGAGACUGCAAUCGAAAGGCUGCUUUCCACGGACUGCCUGCGAGGUGCUGCAUGGUUGUCGUCAGCUCGUGCCGUGAGGUGUCGGCUUAAGUGCCAUAACGAGCGCAACCCCUGCCGCCAGUUGCUAACGCGAAAGGCGAGGACUCUGGCGGGACUGCCGGCGCAAGCCGCGAGGAAGGCGGGGAUGACGUCAAAUCAGCACGGCCCUUACGUCCGGGGCGACACACGUGUUACAAUGGGCGGCACAGCGGGAAGCCAGGCGGCGACGCCGAGCGGAACCCGAAAGCCGUUCUCAGUUCGGAUCGGAGUCUGCAACCCGACUCCGUGAAGCUGGAUUCGCUAGUAAUCGCGCAUCAGCCAUGGCGCGGUGAAUACGUUCCCGGGCCUUGCACUCACCGCCCGUCAAG